CCACCAUAAAACUUCCAUAAACUAAUAUACUGAGUACUCAGUAAUAGAGAGAGAACAUGGCGACCGACCGCUCUCGCCCAGGCGACGCGCCGCCCCCUCCCCAUCGACGGCGCCCACUUCGGCACCGUCGUCCACCACUCGGGCACUUGUCUGCGUCUGCCCCAGGCGGCCCCUGUCCCCGCCGCCGGCUUCCAUCCCCGCAGGUAUGUGCCCCGUGGUGGUCAACUUCUCCAUCCUCAGGGCGGAUCUGGAUAAGAAAACUCAAAAUGUGAUGGAGCAAGACAAACGGGCGGCGGGAUCUCAUCUGUCUCUGUUUCAUCCUCGAGCCGCCGGAAGAAUAGAUUUAUUGUUGCCAUCUCUCUGCGUGGCUAGGACCUCAGGGUUCAAGAAACCAGAGAAUACCAGCCAAAUUUACUGAGAAACAAUCAACCUUAUCAUGGCACAUGAUCCUACUCGGAUGGCUAACUCCAACAACCUAGCUUUGCAGUAUGCUUUCUGGCCAGAUUUAAAAAGGAAGGAUCUUAUCAUGUGUAUGUUAUGUAUUCAGAAAGUCCAUGCUGGAGUAGGAAGGUUGGUGCGUCACCUUACUGGAGGUUCAAGUGAUGUGAAGAAGUAUCCUGAGUCAACCGCGGAAAUUCAGAAGACAUUUGUAGCUACUUAUUAGAUAGAAAAAAAUUUUAAAGCCAUUGAUCGAGAUUUAGAUGAGAAAAAGUUACUGCAAAAUUUUCUAAUUAAGAUCAGGCUAGAGAUGACUUGAGAA